UUCGCAAUGCCCGAAAGGGUGACGAAGCGACGCCGCGUGUGGGAAGAAGGCCUUCGGGUUGUAAACCACUGUCGGGAGUUAAGAAAUGCAAGGAUAUGAAUAGUGUCUUUGCUUGACUAAGGCUCCGGAGGAAGCCACGGCUAACUCUGUGCCAGCAGCCGCGGUAAUACAGAGGCGGCAAGCGUUGUUCGGAAUUAUUGGGCGUAAAGAGCACGUAGGCGGCUAUAUAAGUCGGUUGUGAAAGCCUUCCGCUCAACGGAAGAACAGCAUCCGAUACUACAUGGCUUGAGUGCGGGAGGGGAGAGUGGAACUUCUGGUGGAGCGGUGAAAUGCGUAGAUAUCAGAAGGAACGCCGGCGGCGAAAGCGGCUCUCUGGCCCAUAACUGACGCUGAGUGUGCGAAAGCUAGGGGAGCAAACGGGAUUAGAUACCCCGGUAGUCCUAGCCGUAAACGAUGGGCACUAAGUAGAGGGGUUUU
rnacentral:rRNA from 1 species